rnacentral:rRNA from 1 species
GAUGAACGCUGGCGGCGUGCCUAAUACAUGCAAGUCGAGCGAACGGACGAGAAGCUUGCUUCUCUGAUGUUAGCGGCGGACGGGUGAGUAACACGUGGAUAACCUACCUAUAAGACUGGGAUAACUUCGGGAAACCGGAGCUAAUACCGGAUGAUAUUUUGAACCGCAUGGUUCAAAAGUGAAAGACGGUCUUGCUGUCACUUAUAGAUGGAUCCGCGCUGCAUUAGCUAGUUGGUAAGGUAACGGCUUACCAAGGCAACGAUGCAUAGCCGACCUGAGAGGGUGAUCGGCAACACUGGAACUGAGACACGGUCCAGACUCCUACGGGAGGCAGCAGUAGGGAAUCUUCCGCAAUGGGCGAAAGCCUGACGGAGCAACGCCGCGUGAGUGAUGAAGGUCUUCGGAUCGUAAAACUCUGUUAUUAGGGAAGAACAUAUGUGUAAGUAACUGUGCACAUCUUGACGGUACCUAAUCAGAAAGCCACGGCUAACUACGUG